rnacentral:rRNA from 1 species
CCUACGGGAGGCAGCAGUGGGGAAUAUUGCACAAUGGGGGAAACCCUGAUGCAGCGACGCCGCGUGAAGGAAGAAGUCUUUCUGUAUGUAAACUUCUAUCAGCAGGGAAGACAAUGACGGUACCUGACUAAGAAGCCCCGGCUAACUACGUGCCAGCAGCAGCGGUAAGACGUAGGGGGCAAGCGUUAUCCGGAUUUACUGGGUGUAAAGGGAGCGUAGGCGGUAAUGCAAGUCAGAAGUGAAAGCCCGGGGCUCAACUCCGGGACUGCUUUUGAAACUGUGUUGCUAGAUUGCAGGAGAGGUAAGGGGAAGUCCUGGUGUAGCGGGGAAAUGCGUAGAUAUUAGGAGGAACACCGGUGGCGAAGGCGGCUUACUGGACUGUAAAUGACGCUGAGGCUCGAAAGCGUGGGGAGCAAACAGGAUUAGAUACCCGUGUAGUC